rnacentral:lncRNA from 1 species
UUCACAGGCAUCAGCCUCACAACACCUGUGAGGUGGGCAAAGUUGGCCUUGUUUCUUCAUUCUACAGAUUGGGAAGACAAUGCUCAGAGAAAUUGAUGAUCAUGAUCAUCUAUUGACUUGGCUGAGGUCAUGUGCCCACUUCUCGCCUAAGAGAUGAAAGAGCAUUCUAACUAAAACUCCCACUAAGACUCUAAAGGUAAGUAAGUAAAAUCAGGGUACUGUUACUAGAUGGAGAGAUACAUGCUGGGAAGGCAAAGUAAACAGAUAUGUACCAUCUUACUAACCUCCAACCUUGAAUGCUUGGAAUUUGUUUACAUUUUGCCACAGAUGCCAAAAUAGGUGUGUUAAAGUCCUUUGACUAACCCCAUAAGGAAGCCAGUUUGACUUACAAUAUGCCAGAAACAACAUUAAGGAUAUUUUAAAGCCCAAGACACUGAAGGAUUCUUAAGCCUUUAGUUUUUUCAUGGGGUAUUUGGUUUUUAACUAUAGGUAUCAAUGGCCUAGAAAUGUUGCUUCACAGAUUCUACAAAAAGAGUUUUUCCAAUCUGCUGUAUCAAAACAAAGGUUUAACUCUGUGACAUGAAUCCACAUAUCGCAAAUAAUUUUCACAGAUAGCUUAUUUCUAGUUUUUAUCGCGGGAUAUUUGGUUUUUCACUAUAGGCCUCAAUGGGCUCAGAAAUGUCUCUUCAUAGAUUCUACAAAAAGAGUGUUUCUAACCUGCUGAAUCAAAAUAAAGGUUUAACUCUAUGAGAUAAAUCCACAAAAAUCUGUGAGAUAAAUCCCUAAAUCUGAGCCCUUCUCUUUAAAAACUGUGUAAGAAUUUUGGAAAACAGGCUCGGGAGCAUAUAGACCUAUAAAAAUUUCUAGGAGGCUGGCUGUAUAACACCAUGUUGAUGUAGGAAGGAAACAAUACCAGAAUAAAAGAUGAGGGGAUGGGCAGGGCCUGGAUUCUGUGGCUCCACUGGAAAUAGCAAUGGGAAGCUUCCAAAGAAGAUAUAAAGUUUUCAAAAAGUUAAAAUAUGAUUCAUACAAAUUAAGAAUGCAAAUGAAUAAAGGUUUUAUUGAACCUAUUAACUAAUAUGAGAACCAGAAAAACAUUAUAGCUGGUGCAAAGAACAUUUUGAAGAACUGAAUAUAUAUCAGCAUUUUGAGGAAGAAUGCUAGAAUAAGAUUCCUAGAUUAAAUAACAAACUGGUAAAUAUCUUUCAGGAAAAUAAAACCAUAAUCAGCAUAACAUUUAAGUUCCCUUUUAUACCAGACAGAAAUAAUUUGCAUCUCUACUGGAGACAAAUCUAUAAACUAAAAUGUAACUUCCCAAAUUCUGGACCAAAUAGUAAGUAGCUAGUCUCAAACACAGGUGCAUGCCUCUAAGAUAACUGAAUAAUCCUUGAUGAUGGGCGAGAGCUUAUUGUUAAACAUUGUCCUUUAUGACGAGGAGAGUAUGUGAAGAAUUCUCUUGAUUGUAUUUUCAAGCUCUCCUAAUGUUUCUUAAGAAAGGGAUAUCAGCAGAAAGCAAGAACUAAGGGAGAAAGAGCAACAGUUGCUGCCAGGGUAUCACAGGUAGGAGAGGUCUCUGCCUAGUGGCAGGAGACCAGAGGGGAGGCCUUCCUGCACACAAGGUGUUCCUUUGUCAAGUGUUCUUGAGUAAGAAACCAUAAUUAAUACUUGCAAUGGUGACAAGUCACAGUGGGUGCUUCGUGACUAAAAAAGGACAUCAAAAGUCUUGUGUGGGUUACAUGCUAGAAUAAAUGGAUUUAUUAAAAUGUCUUGGUUGGUUAAAUACCCUGUGUGCCUGAUGCCACAAGAAUUUUAUUGCAUAUUAUUUAGGCUGCUGUUCUUUUUCUGAAGGAGAAAGCAUUUUUCUUUCUCAGCUCUUUGGUUUUUGAAAUUCCUAAAAAUCCAAUUUUCUGUCUUUUUAAGUCCUGUAAUUCAAGGACAACGCAGUAGAAAUCCAACAAUAUUAUGCCAUGAUAACUUUAUUAUCCCAGAAUAAAAUCAUUUUUAGGAAGUAAUAUUUCUCAAGACAUUAAAAUGGAAUGGAUUUUUACUUUCUAGAAUUGUUUUAUUGUAUUGCUCUCUGACACAGGAAAUGAGUUCAAUGGCCUCUAGGAUUCCUUUAUUUUAUUGUGGUCCAAGGAUUCUAUAUUGAUUAGAUUUCCCAGAUGGUCAUAUAACACAUUUUCAUGAUAGAUUAAAACUGUACAUUGUGGCAGAUUUUGCCAGUUCUUUUAAAUUUCAUGUCAUUAACACAAUUAAAAUAUAAAAUAUGUGCUGGCUCAUUCCUAAGAACUUUUACAAUACCAUACUUGUGUUGGUCUCCAAAAUUGAAAACCAUUUUGUGAGAAUAAUGAUAAAAAAUGUAUUUUAAAAAUUAUUGUUUCCCACUAGAGAAUAGUUUAUGUUUGAAUAUAAAAAAGAAAAGAUGGAGAACAGAAUUCCUUGCUAUUAAUCGCUACACCACAGGUAAACCAAAGACUCAAAUAUUAUUGAUGGGGUUAGAGGCCUAUGGUAUUCUUCACCAAGAUGUUUCUUCAGCAUCUUUUAGAGCAUCUAAUUUUUUUUUUUUUUUUUUUUUUUUUACUAUGUGUGUAUCUCAGAAGGAAACUUCUGGUCAUUAUUUGCAACUAUCACAAAAUGAUGAAGCCUUUUGUUGUUUUGUUUUGUUUUCCUUGUUGCUAAAAAGUACUGAAUAAUUAAUGUUUAACUUUUCAGGUCACAUUUUUUUAAAAACACAUAUGCUUCUCUUUCUAAAUGACCUAAGUUUUAUUUUAAUGUGUUUUUUAAUACAUGUAUUUUGGAAAGAAGGGAGGGUCCCUUCAAAAUUAAAAGCAGAUGGUAAAGAAGUUAUUUGAGACCAAACUAUAAAACUGCUGGAAGUCUACUAUAGUUAAAUAAAAUAAAAUUUCAUGUCAAAAGCUGGCUUCCAGGAAAAUUAUUUUGUUUGAAAAAAGACUCAAAAUUUCUACUGAGGGCACAUGCAAUGUAACAGUAAUCUGUCUUUUAUUCUUGCUUUUGCAAACAGGCUUAGAUAAGGGAACUGAAGAAAAUGCACUUUGGGAUCUACAGAAAACUUCCUAAUCCAUUUAUCCAAUAAAUGCUAUUUCCAUCUUCUCAGACACUGUUCCAGAUGCUGGUGAUAAUUAGUGAACUAAGUACCCAAGUUCUCAGUCCUGAGGACCUUACAGCCUCGUAACUGAGACAGACAAUAAACAAGUAAGCAAAGAAAUUAAAGAGAUAAUUACAAACCGUGGUAAGUGCUAUGAAGGAAAUAAACAGGGUUCAUGAUAAGGGGUAGUGGGGACAGGGAAACACUUUUUAUUUAUUUCUUCCUUAAUUUCUUCAGUGACUCAAUGGUCAUUCAGGAGCAUGUUAUUUAAUAUUUAUGUAUUUGUACAACUUCCAAAGUUCCUCUUGUUAUUAAUAUAUUCAAAGUGUGAUUAUCUACUCACUAUUGUGGUUCUGCAAACUCUCUUUUCUUACCACAAAAGGUAACUGAGUGGAAACAUGUCAGUUCCGGGUAACCUAUCUACCUUGGGUUGGCUGUCCCAUAUUCAGAUAUUUUCCUUGGCAUAAUAAAUAACUUCAUAUGAGCCAGAUUAAAUAAUAUAAGACCAUAACAAAUAAAUAUAAGCUAGAUUAAAAAAUAUAAGACCAUUAUAAAUAAUAUAAUACCGUUCUGGCAUAAAAUGUCAUAUAUGUUAAAAUUUUUCUACAUAAAUCCCAUACUUGAUAGUUAUUCAGGCAAAAUUAGGGAGCAUCUGAGUGAAAAUAAAUUUUCUUGAAUUAGUUGGUAACAAUUUGCUUGAAUUACGGAGUUAAUAGUAGCAAAAACAAUUGAUUUUCUAAAAUAUGUAGUAAACUGAGCAUUAAAUGAACAGUAUCAUGGGCCUCACCUUAAAUGCUAGAUCAUGAGUUAAACUGAAACUGAGUAUUUUAGAUUAUUAUUUAGUUGACUUCUGAAAUUGCAUAGCUCAAUGGAAAGAGUUGUACUAAUUUUGAGGUCAGAUAGGGCCUCAAUUUCAGCUCAGUCACUUAGCAGCUGAGUUUGAGCAAGUUAGUUAAGCCGUCAGAGCCUCAGUUUGAUCAUCUGUAAAAUGGUGCACCACUAUGCACUCCUCAGAAGUGUUUUGAAGAUUAAAUGCCUGCAUGCACAUAACAGCAUCCAACACAUAAGACAUGCUCAAUAAAUGUGGUAGUUUCUUCUUCUUCUUUUCUUUGACAAUCUUAAGCUGAAAUAAUGACCAUUAAGUGAAAGAAAACUAAAUUAAGUAAAAUGUGUUUCUUCUGGCAAGAAGAUCAGUUUAAGAAUAUUGAUUUAAGAAGAACAUAGCUCUCAGGGCACAUACUGCUGAAUUCUCUAAGAAACAAUAUACAAGUAUUUGACUUUAGCAAUCUUUAAAAUUUAGUUGCACUAAUGUAGCUGGUGCUGAGAUUUAAGUCUUCAACAACCCAUACCUUAAAAUAGCUUUUAAAUUCCUACAUUUGAAUUAUUUUCCACAAUGAUAACAACCAAAAACCCACAGGUAAAUGACAGAACAGUAGAUAAGAAGGAAAAAUUUAUUAACUUUUGUACUUUCAGGAAAAAAAUCUGAGGGAUUCUUAGAAAUAUGUUUGAAUUUGGGAAUAUCAAACCUUUAAAAAAGUUACAUAAAUAUAUACCCAUUACACAGAUUUACCCUCUUAACCAUUUGCCCCUUGGACUCUCUUGCUCACUCACAUUCUCAUUUUCUCUCUAUCCAGAUGGAUAGAGAAAUAAAUUUUUUUCAAACAUUUAAUGGUAGGUUGCAUAUAGCCCUUUACCCCUAACUCCUAAAUACUACAGUUUUUUGUAUUAUAAAAAAGAUAUUCCCUUAGGUACACACAAAAAAUACAAUAAAUUUAACAUUGAUACAAACUCUAUCUAUUGUCUUUAUUAAAAUCUUGGCAAUUUACACAAUAAAGUCCCCAUGAAUGUAAGCUUUUCCUUUUUUUUUGUUUUUGUGUUUUGCUUUGGGUUUUGGUUUUUAGUUCCUGAGUUUUUCCCAUCUAGAACAUGAUCCAGUAGGAUAAUUAUAUUCGGUUUUCAUGUCUCUGGACAUCCACCACAAAAUUGUCAGAUUCAAGGGUCAGGCAGUAUGUCCAGAUCAUCCCCAUUCCAGGAGCCCCAGGGAGCCCAUUUCCCCAGUCAGGCCCUGCCAGCAUGGGCGAAAGAGGAGAAGUUCCUCAGGCUGCCCUCUUCACUGUCCCUGGCUUUGUCUUUAGGGAUAGUCAACAAGAAAGUCUUCCAUCUCCUCUGAGGAGGGAAAUUUCCAUCAACAAAAUGUUUCUGUACAAUUAGGCAAGAAUAGCCACAUGCUACCACAUCCUCUGAAAAACCUGGUCUCUGUUAUGUUUCUCAUAACCAAGGAUAUUUAUUCUUUCCAAAUAUAUUUGUUCUUCUAGUAACUGAGUGCUAUCUUCUGUCUCUACUGUGUUUGGAGUAUUGUUUUGGGAAUCGCAGAAGUUUGAGCUCAGGGGAAGGAAGGAGUCCUCCUCAGCUCUUCCUGAGUGCCUGCUUUGGCUUCUCAGAGGUGACCACAGGUUGGGAGGGAGGUUGACAGUAGGUUUGCACAUCCUCCCUGCUCAGUGGUAGGCAGCCAAGGGAGUAGGCAGCAUGGGGCUGCUGGGUCUUUUCACCCACCUGGGUCAAGUGAACAGUGACUCAUUCUCAAUAGUCAUGUUCUCAGGUUACAGACCUUCCCUUCUUCACUCACCUCAGAGAAGGUAAAAAGAGCUCAGUGUGCAAGGCACUGAUAUGUAUGUGCAUAGUAACCUGAUUAUGAGAUUCUGUGUACUCACGGUGGAAUAAGAGUGGUAAAGCAGUAUCUAUAGUUUCCUUUUCCUCUUUAUGUCAGAAGGAGGACAGAGAAAGGGGAGAAAAAGACCAGGAGUCAAAAGAAGACAAGGACAUGCAAUCUCUAUGUAUUUUCAUGUAGUGCUGGGUCACUUUCCACCACUAGAGUGUGACCUGGAUUCUAAGCUUGAUACACAAAAUUGACUCUUGACCUGGGCAGGCUCUCCCCACCUCUUCUCCAUGCUGCCACCUCCACUCCAAGAAAGCCUAGCUCCAUAGUGCGUCAGGAACAUAAAAAUUUCUUCUGAAUACUGUGGUUUUUCUGCAUUUUAAAGAAGGUUUCCAAUACCUUUGAACCCAGAGCUGCAUACACAUUUGGUGGGAGUUUGGGUGGUGGACAAUAUUGCUGUGUUAGAUUGUGGGCUGGCCCAGGGUACAGUGUAUGAUCAGGGUAUGUUUGCUUAAGGGUCUGUUGUAUCUGUGGUGUUAAUCUGUCUGGGAAGCAAACUCUAAAUACAUCAGAGCAAUAUCCCUCUGAAGUAGGCACCGUUAGAGAAUGAAGCCUCUCCCCAAGGAGUCUACUCAAGGUGCCUGAAUUGACAUCAUUGCUGAAUGAAGGUAUCACCCAGGUAUCAAUAGUGGAAACAUUCAUAGUGCUGCCUCUUUGUGCUUAGUGGAAAAUGAGGCAGAAAGUGAGAAAUUGGUUUGGGUUUUACUAAAUAAAGAGGAAGAAAGAAGAACAAAAGGGGUCAAAAGAAUGAACCAGCUGGUUGGAAGGAAAGGUAAUGUUCCUAUUAUCCCCAAUCCUGUCUGCUCCACCCACAUACAACCUGAUCUGGACGCCACCUCCUGGAGCCUCAUCAGGCACUGUGAGCAUAUUGGCACCAUCCUGGUGGAAACGUGUAAUGGCCUAGUAUUUCAGCCCAAAAAUAAUGUUUAUAGAAAUAUUGUCAGAUAUGGUAUGCCCCUCUCUCCUCUCUGGGGAUGAUGGCCUUGGUAUGUUCCUUCUGGCCAUGAUUGAUGACAAGAUGCAGGAAUUAUCCUCUGUACACAGCUCAACCAUCAAGGUUGAGGCACCACCACGUGAUUUUCAUGCUCUGGCUGGAGCACUGACAGACCUCCUCCAGAGACAACAACAGUUCAUGUACCACAGGUGAGUCCUACACCUUGCUCCCUGGAGCAAUGUUUCCACAGGUUGGCUUGGGCCCCAGUUCAACACUUUGAAGCCAAAGCAGUCAGAGAUACCAAGUGGGUUCUCAACCUUGCCUACUUUUAAUCAUUUUUCUGUCCAUUGGACUCUCUUACUUCAUGUCAUCUGGAUUAAAGCCACAGACUUCAAGGGAUGUCAAAGAAGGCAAAGAAGCUAUCGAGAGAAUGGAGCUACUAGUUCUUUAUUUCUUUUUAAGUUCUUUUUUUUAAAGUUCUUUUUAAAGUUUUUUUUUUUAAGUUCUUUUUUUAAGUUUUUUUUUUAAGUUCUUUUGAUGAUGAACUUAAAGGAAACUUUUUAAGUUCAGAAAGGCUGAGUUACCCAAUAAGUGAAAAAUCUGGUACUGGGGAACUCAGGGGAUGUGACUGCUUGUCUGGUGAUGUUUGGCAUGAACAGAACAAAGACACCUAAUCAAGGGCUGAAUGAUUCCUCCAGGAAUAUAAUCAAAGUCAUCCGUGACCUCCAGGUUUUUGCUUAUCUCUAGAGACAUAAAGAAGAUGAAGCAAUCAGGCAGAGUUUUAAGACAAAGGAGUAAAGAAAGGAUUUCCCCAAUCUUACUCUGCUUCCUGCACUGUGUUUCUCCUUCCCAGGAUCCAUCCCAUAUGAAAAAGCAGGAGGACAGGCUGGGCGCGGUGGCUCAUGCCUGUAAUCCCAGCACUUUGGGAGGCAAAGGCGGGCGGAUCACGAGGUCGGAAGAUCAAGACCAGCCUGGCCAACAUGGUGAAACCCUGUCUCUACUAAAAAUACGAGAAUUAGCUGGGUGUGGUGGCACACGCUUGUAAUCCCAGCUACUCGGGAGGCUGAGCUGAGUCGGGAGAAUCGCUUGAACCCGGGAGGCGGAGAUUGCAGUGAGCCAACAUCCAGCCUCUUCACUGCAGCCUGGCCACACAGAGCGAGAUGCCAUCUUAAAAAAAAAAAAAAAAAAGGAGGACAAAACUCAUUCACUGCAUACCAGUGGGAGAGAUGAGGAGCUCUUUCUCAUGUAAAAUAAAAUGUUGAAGCAAAUUUUGUGCCUAGACCUAGGGCUCACCGUGUUGCUUAAUUCCACGGGUCAUUUUUCACUUCAUAUAGAUGACUCUGAUAUCGAAUACAAUGUGAAUGGGCUCCCUGGAGUCAUAGGAUACUAAGCUCUAUACCCCACACCUAAUAGAGGGCUAAUAAAAAAUGCAUGAAGGGCUAGGUGCAG